rnacentral:rRNA from 1 species
GAUGAACGCUGGCGGCGUGCCUAAUACAUGCAAGUCGAGCGAACAGACGAGGAGCUUGCUCCUCUGACGUUAGCGGCGGACGGGUGAGUAACACGUGGAUAACCUACCUAUAAGACUGGGAUAACUCCGGGAAACCGGAGCUAAUACCGGAUAACAUGUUGAACCGCAUGGUUCAACAGUGAAAGACGGUCUUGCUGUCACUUAUAGAUGGAUCCGCGCCGCAUUAGCUAGUUGGUAAGGUAACGGCUUACCAAGGCAACGAUGCGUAGCCGACCUGAGAGGGUGAUCGGCCACACUGGAACUGAGACACGGUCCAGACUCCUACGGGAGGCAGCAGUAGGGAAUCUUCCGCAAUGGGCGAAAGCCUGACGGAGCAACGCCGCGUGAGUGAAGAAGGUCUUCGGAUCGUAAAACUCUGUUAUUAGGGAAGAACAAAUGUGUAAGUAACUAUGCACGUCUUGACGGUACCUAAUCAGAAAGCCACGGCUAACUACGUG